UGGACCUGGAAGAGAAAAGGGAGCCAUGCAUUCUCAGACGUGUCAGAAAUGACUUUGAGCCGCGUUCAUGAGUGCAGUUCUUGGAGCUCAUCAGAGGUUAGAGGAGGCUGCAUUCUAAUUCUGGUCUAUGCGCUCUGGCUGUAGAAUGUACCAUCUUGGCAGAAGAAUCUGCAAAUUGGAGAACUGAGUUCUUGCCUUAGCUACCACUGGCAGGGUUAUUUGCUAUUCUGAGCAAAGGUUUCCUCAUUAGCUCUUAUAGUCAAUGAAUAAAAUCUGAUUUGGUUUCACAUUCAAUAUGGCAUACACAUAAUAUUGGGGAGAUAGAUUUUGAAACCUUUUUAUCUGCUACUACCUCUGAUAUGGCAGAAGCUAUCCAUCUAAAUCUACACAGUAGUGGUCAUGAAAAUAUAUAUGAAAAUCAUAACACAGUUCUGAAUUUUAUGAUAAUGGUCUCAUACUGUUGAUUUUCCUUUAUCCAAUGUGGCUUGAGGUGGGGUGUGCCUGAUAAAACUCUGGUUAGUGGCUGAAGUUUUAAGAAUAAAAUUGCAAUUGCUUUGUAUUGAAAGACUGCUAAUAUGUAAGCAAACUUACCAAACUUGCUUUAAAAAUGUGAUAAAAUCUAUAUUGAACACAAGAAGAGAAGGUACUAAAGUUGAGGUACUAUUAGUACUUGUCUCAUAAUAUUAAGACUUUUGCACGAGAAAAGGCAAAACAGUAAAGUGAUUCACUGCAAAGCAAAUCAAGAAGGUAUGAAACUUGUAGCUGGAGAGGUUUACCUUCACACAGCAAAGCAGCUGUGAAGUUCAAGGUGACAAACGGCAAGCAGAGUAAUUUGGUCAUCUGACAAUUUGGAAUACUAGUCUUUCCAAAUUACGGAGGCAACUCGCUGUUUUUCUGUUUGUUUUUUGGAAGUGAUGAGUACUUGACUGCAAAGAACUUUAUAUCUAAUUUUACUUAAAAGAGACAAAGGCAAAAAUUUGGAAUGCCAGGGUGGGCUGUGAGCCACGCAGCUGAACUCCACAUCCACAGAGGACAUCCGGGGGACAGAGGGUGGCGUGAGCAGCUUUAGCCGCUACCAUGUUCCAUGCGCCAAGCCCUUGAUUAAUAACAAGUUACUCAGUCCUCACAGCAGCCCUAGGAGAAGGACUACUCUACACUCCACAAAGGGGGGCUGAGGUUAUGCGUGUCCACGGACAGACAACCGGAAGGAGGUGGAGCCACCAGCCCAGGUAAGCCCUCGGCUCCUCCCCGUGGCGCGUGGCCGCAGUGUACACUGUACCGGGCUGAGCGUUAAGUUUAGAGCUGAACUGAACCUAGGAUUUGUUUCUGUGCCCGUGACGGGACGACAGCAUCGAGCAUCUGGGCAAACGCUCCAGGCACUGUGCUCUUCAGGUCUGCGUCCCGGUUUGUUCGCUGCAUGUUUUUUCUUUACGUUUUAUCCUCUGUGAAAAGGGGGUCAUAACGCUGAUUCAAAGAGCUGUCGGUAAGAUCUGUUGAGGUUAUUGAAAUCACCUCUCGUGGAGGCGGUGCACAGCAGUAAGUCCCCUCCUCUUCUCUCCUCCACGCUGACUCCUAAGGAUUUUCUAGUCAAUGUGGCUGGAUUUGCAUGUCAAGUAACUCCUCUAUGAUUAUCGUACACUUUCAGACUCCUCUGUCUGGCCCCUUUCUUUAUUAGAGCUGUUUACCAGUUGAAAAUUGAUUCAUGCAAGUGUUUUGCCCCCUGUGGUUUUCUGAGCACAGUGCUAAGAAGAGGUACACAUAGAAGCUGUAAUGUGGCUGGAGAGAAAAGGCGGGACUGGAGGACAGGAAGAGGUGGAGCCGCAAAGACAGCCAGCCAAGGCUGUUGACCUGCAUCUGGGGCUGAGCAGCUGAGUACUGGCUAGUUUGUGAAUCCUUUGAGACAUUUCUGUCUUGAGGCUGAGACACAUGGAGAAGACAAAGUCGGGAAGGUUAAGUCCUUUUACUCUUUCUAAUCUAAGCCAUGUGCUCCCUGACGCAUUUUGGUUUCUUGCACUCUGCUACUGCCAUUCAAAAUAGCCGUGAGGUGACGUGCUCCAGACAGGCUCAACGCCAUCAGGCUUGUUUUCUUCAAAAGACAGAAUUUAAGCCACAUCAAAAGUGAUCCGAAGUCUUGGCCUGAUGAUUUUUGUCCUUUAGCUAUUUACCCAACCAUUUCAGUAACUCGGCCAGGCACACGUACGAGGGGUAUCGAGCCCAGCAAGGGCACUUGGACACCGAGCACAGAGAUGCUGUCCCUGGGAGGGGUGGGAAGGCCCCACCAUUCCACUGCUUCCCCCUGAGUUGGCUCAUCUCUCUGCCAAAGUGGUUCUUAGCCACUUACUGCCUCAACCUUAAUUGUCCAAAAGUAAUAAACUGCAUGUCUCUCCCCACCAGCUAUAAUGUUUCUUCCCAUCAGGCCUCUGCUCACUCUGAUCCCUCUGCUAGGAAUGCCUUUCUCCCGUCCUACAUCAAGUAAAAAAGGCCUCUUUCAGGACUGAACUCUGCUGUCAUCCCCACGAGACUUUUCUCGGCCCCUACUGCAAGAGUCAGGGGCCUCCUCUCCGUGUGUGUUGCACCUGUCCACAGGUCGUCACUGCUCUGCCUACUGGACAGUCUGAUGUUUUGCUUUGUCUCGCUCUCCUCCUGUACUGUGAAAUCCUUAAGGGCAGGAACCCUACCUAUAUAAUUUGGAGGGUGGUGGUGCUAAGAAAGUAAGAAGAGCUCUUAAUUACAUAGUUCCGGAUCUCGUGUUCAGCUGUCUCGUAUUCUAACCUAGGGCCCCGCAAAGCGUCCUCUCCAGCCGAGGCUUGUCAUUUCCUGUGAAGUACCUGAUGCUCAUGCAAAUGGAAGUCUUCUUCACUUUGUGAUUUGCGCUGGGGAGAGGGGUGGCUGGAUCUUUUGGGAAAAGGAAAGAAAAUACUUUUGGUGGGAAGAUCACCCUAGGGAUAUAUUUUCAAAUACAAAUGGAUUUAUUACAGGUAUUAAUGAAUAUUUAGUUCAGACUCCUUCUACCACUCACUCUGUCCUCUGCUUCACUCCCCAGGAAGGUUCUUUGUUUCCCUGUCUAGUUCCUGGGCUUUUGCUUUGCAAUCUGUACAGAAGGGAGAGCUACAGAACUGAAGAGAGACUAGACUGAUGAUAUCAGAAAGGACUGAUAUGGAACCACAAGCUGGAUGUGUCUGGGAAAGCACGUCCCGACUGAGUUAUACAUUCAGUCUUAACUUCAGGGUGACUUUCAAAAUGUCAAAUAAGUAGCAUGACGCUGGCACCAUGCAACUGGAAAAGAAGGUGCUGAACCAGUGCCAACUGGACACAACGAGUCCUGAAACCCUGUAAGGUCAACUGCAGAAGGGAAAGCAAAUGAAAAGUGCGCAGAGGCCGUCUGGAAACUGGAAAGAGCUGGCUUUCUACAGACGAGUGAUGGGAUUAUGUGACGUGCACGCUUACCUCGUGGUUGCAGAAGCAGUAGAUCACGGCAACGAAGAAUCCCUAAAAAGAGGGGAAAAUCGAGUUGAAGUUAUUUCUGUGUGCAGCGUGUUGUUUAGUAAUCAAUACAAAUAGCCCGGAGAGGAACAUUUCACUAUGGUAACAGCAAGUCGAGGCUUGAUGAACAGUGACCACCACUCACAUUCAGUGCUUCACUACAAGAAUAUUCAUUAGAAAUGCCCGUUUCUUGUUAGGAUUCUAUUGUGUGUCCCAGCUUGCUUUCCAAGUACCUAGCACUAUGCCUUCAAUGAGGCUUCGGACCUGAGGCCAAGUGAAUGGAAACACGGAAAGCAGACAGUGGGAGAGGCAGGGAGGAGCCGUCUUCCUUCCAGGGACCAUAUGUUCUCAAGUGUCAUUCUAACCACAGUGGAGCCCCAGAAAACUGUUGCCCCUGUACCAACUAGCUGAGCAAGUAGUUGAAUAAAUACACCAUCAGUUUCCUUACCUGGAAGUGAAUCAGAGAGUGCAUCACGUAGUCAUAGACUCGGCCAAGUUGCGGGUUGGAAGGCCUCCAGGGAAGGACGACAAACUGGACCCCCAGCAGGGGGACGAGGACCAGAGUGGCCCUCACCGCCUUCAGGUACCUGUGCGAUUCCGCCUCCGGGGUUUCCUUCAGUUUCUUCACCAGCACCCGGACAAUGUUCAGCAGAAAGAAGAAGUUGACCUGCAAAGAUAUGAUUAUUAUGAGCAAAUUCAGCACCACUGAGGGACACCCACUGCCCUCAGUUCUCAUUUAUCCAGCAUGGGGAGCAGAUGUCACCUAUACAGGACACACGAGACAGCCCGAGAGGUUACAGUCUGCUCAGCAUGACGGGGCCUUGGAGCCCCGAAAAAGCUGAAUGCCCUCUUCAGACCUGAAUGAACAUUUAGCUACUUAACUAAAAGUAAAAUGAGGACUGAAAAAUGUAUCUGUAAAGCUUAUGUGGUGGAAACAGCUAAUCCAGACUUCUUUAAAAAAAAAACCAACUUAAAAUAAUUUCAUUGAGGCAUAAAGUACAUUCAAUAAAAUAGAAAAUUUAAAUUUACAUUUGGGAAGUUUAGACAAAUGUAUAUAUCUGUGUAAUAAGCACUCCAAACAAGAAAAGAGCAUUUCCACCACCCCAAAAAGUGCCCUCUUGCCCCUUUGCAGUCAACGAGGCCCUCCCCCAUCUCAAGCAACCGUUGAUUUCUAUUACCGUAGAAAUGGAAUGAUACAGAGUAUGGACUCUUCUGUGUCUGGUUUCUUUGGUUUAACGUACUAUCUGUGAGGUUCAUUCGUGUUGUGUAUAUUGGCAUUUCAUUCAUUUUUAUUGCUGAGUAGCACUGCAUUAUAUGAAUAAUACAUACCCAUAAUUUGUUUAUUCAUUCUCCUGUUGAUGAAACUUGGAAUGGUUCCACAGUUUGACUAUUAUGAAUAAACAUGCUAUGAAUA